rnacentral:lncRNA from 1 species
UACUCAUUUCACCUGGGAUUGUUGAUUAGGCUGCUUCAAGGGAAAUCCUAUUCUUGAAGGUGGCUUUGACCAUCUGGAGGAGGAAAUGAUAGAUAUCCUUACCACAUCUUCGUGCAUGGCCUGCCCGGAUACAACUGCGUGGGUACUGCGAUGGAGCACAAACAAACGCGACCGCUAAAGUCGUGUAGGGUGUUUCCCUUUCAUGUCUGAAUUUGUUUAGACAGUUACACAAUCAGAGAGCGCGGAAUGAGAGAAAACAAAACCCAGGAGAAAGGAAUGCUUUGAAUCUAGGUCCCUGGGCCUUGAUACUUUUUCUUUGUUAAAUCAACCCAAGGCCCCUCCAUAUGCUGAUCAUCUUUUGCCAAUGUCUGUGUCUGAACAGGUUUUCCCAGGCAUAUAGCUCAGAAAGAACCUUUCAUCCUCCUUUUCCUGUUAUGUGUAUAAUGUGGUGUAGCCCAAAGCCACUGUGGGUUCUAAUUUGCAUGUCUAUUUCAAGAAGCCCGGAAACUAUUUGCAUAAGACUCUUGCUUCCUGAGAGAUCCCAGCAGAAGGAUGUAGAGAUAGAGUCUUUCAUUUUUUCAUUUAGUUCUAGAUAUCCAUAGUGAGAGAUCUGUGUGUCUAAACCCUAAAAUCUGUAGAAUGUGCAUGAAAAAAUCUACCACCCUAAGCGUAAGGAGAGCUAGUACAGAUGAGGAUGUCGUGGCAGAAAUUAGUACAAAAAACAUUACAACAUUUUGUAAUUUUUCUAACUUCAAGUAUUUUUUGGAGGUUUGUUGUAGAACUAUGGAAACUUGAAACAUAAAGCAAGACUAUUUAAAGG